GGAAGCGCCGCUGCCCCGCACGGAGCCGCUUUGACAUCUUAGCCCGGACUGAGGGAGACAAACUUUCAUCAGCUGGGGCUGGAGAGCAGCACCAUAAUAUACAGUUACGGCGAGGAGCGAGCCGGGACUCAGGAUGGAACCACGAACAGCUACAUCCCAUGGAGAGGUUACAAUACUGAAUUCACCUCAUCACUGACCGCAGAACCCCAGAACUGAAGUGCUUCUAGUUUGGCAGUUUUGCCAAAGCUAAACACAGAGCUAAAGAAAAAACCAGGACCUCCCCAAACACUUCCAGUUAGUUCAGCUGGGAAACAAGUUUUGCUUGCAGAGCCAAACCAGAAUGAUGCCACUAUCAGCAGGCAGGCCAGCACCACCCAACAAGCAGCACGGGCUCCUCUCUCUGAGCAAGGACUUUGGGAAAGGAUUUUUGUGAUUGUGAUUUCAGUGGUAGAUAUGUAUUUAAAUCAAAGCUUGAUGUGUAUUUGCAUUCCUAUAUUAAACUUUUCUACAGUACAUUUCAGUACCGUUUUUUAUCCUAAUGCUUUUCUUUAUGCUCAGGUGUCCUUCUUGCAUUUCAUUUGUGCCCCUGCUUUCUAAUCGCCUUUCAUUAGGAAGUUUGCAAAUUGGGAAUGGCCUCAGAGGGGGCUGGGACUUCACAGCCCCCCGUUGCUUGGUGCUGACCCGUGGGCACGACCGCGGGGGAGCACAGAGAGAGCACCUCCCAGGCAUCCAGCCCGCUGUAACCCAGCUCAGCAAGAAGCGUACUGAGAAAUAAACUACACAGGCUGAAGUCAUAGAGCUUGAUGAAAUAUGACCUUGUGGGACAACCCUGUGUACUGAUCUACUCUGUCAGUGAACAAGUGGCCAGUCAAUGCUCCCGGAAAGACAAUUACCCACCCAUCAAAGCACACAGGCAUUUUUGUCCUUGGAGUCAAAGGAGCAAACAUCUUUGCGGAAGAGGCAAGCUGGGGUAUUUUUGGCCACAGAGCUCUUGCUGUGAUGGAUGUAUCAGGAAUGGAUUCCUCCAGAGAGAGCUGCCAGAAACUUUAUCCCUGCUUUGCUGUGUUGUUUUCCUUGUAAAUCAGCCCUCUCACAAAAAACAUUACGCUGACAUGGCCAAUCCCAGAUACUAAACAACAAAACUCCGAGCAAGCCUUACCCAGACAGUCUCCUCUUCUAUCUGACCAGCUGAGUAAACUUGAAGAAGUAACUAAUGACUUGCAUACACGUACACAGGAAAAUAUUUGGGUUUAAAAUAAAUCCCCAGAAUACUGUAACCCUCAGCGCUUUACAUUACAGUGACUUUCAGCCCUUAAUGAUGUAUUGCUGUCAGAUGAAAUUAAUAUUGCCAACGUGGAGACAAAUGUGUCUCACACACCUAAACCACUGCGUGUCCCCCAUGUGGGCACCAUUUUGAGCAAGGCGCAACUUCAGCCCUACUUUGAUGCUUCUGGUUAGGAGGGAAAAGGCUGAGGUGGUGAGCCUUAACAUGUUGAAACCAUCUCAGCAUUUUACCCUGACUAGAACUCGUUAACACUGCUUCGGAUGCACGUACGUAUCAGUAUGAGAAACCAGGAAAGUCAGUGAGGAACUGAGGAACAAGCGGCAGUGGCUGUCACCUGAGUGUCAAUCCUCGUGCAGUUGCACCAGCAAGAAAACGCGUCCCCCGUGAAGACACACAGCAUGGGCUGACAGAUAGAGAACCCAUGCCCAAACAGCAUCCAAAGAGAAGGAAAAUUCCAGUAUUUAGCAAAUGUGGGUGAUCUCCAGCACAGGUUGGGGAGUUGUCUGUGGAGCGUACUGUCCAACGGUGAAUGUAUUCUUUCCUUUGAAAUGCCUGAGAGUCUGAAGUGAAAUUACGUCAAUUUUGUUCCUAGCUCUAAAGUUUAUUAAGUUGAUGCCUACUUGUACAGGGCUAAGCCUGUGAGGCCCAUGUUUUUCUGAAGUAACAUUUUCCUGUAUAGUCUAUUUUCUAUUACAAUGACUUGAUUGUAGAACUGAAAUGAAUGUCAGGAUUGUUUGCUGGAUACAUUACCAGAUACCUUCUUUUCUGAGGCCCAGUAAGAGAAAUUAGGUUUGCAACAGAGAUCAUUUUUGUUAUUUUGAAGUGAAGGUUUCAUAUCAUAUAAAGCAUUCCCAGACAGUGAUUUGCAUUAGGCAUUUUGUUCACUAGGUGUACUUCCAAGGUUAUUUAUGGGAGACAAUUCCCACCUCAAGUUGCCACAUAUUUGUCCUGUAGAUUUUGAAAGCUGCAUUUAGAGAAAAUAAAAAACAUUGCGAAAUAACCUUUCUCCAAAGCCAAAAGAUUUUGUGAACAGCACAUUAAGACAGAGAAGGUGGAGCUACCCAUGAGCAAGGUGACACGAGGAUGCAGCAAGCCAAUGCCGUACCAUCUCUGAGGAUGGCCAGCAGAAAUGACAGGAAACCAAGCCACCCUUGCCCCAGGGAGCCUGCUGACAGGGUUGCCAAGGGGCAGAAAGGAAGCUGACCCGUGUCACGCCUCAUUUCAGUUGCUCUCAUGUUUCCUUUUCUCACCAGGAUGUAAUGGAUUUCUAAGAAGGAUCAGCUCCUCUGUUCAAUGAAAAGAGGCAAUGAGCAAAACUGGAGCACAAGAAGUUCCAGCUAAACAUCAGGAAACACUUCUGUACUGUGUGGAUCAGGGAGCCCUGGCACAGGCUGCCCAGAGAGGGUCUGGGGGCUCCUCCUGGAGAGCUUCAAACCCACCGGGACCUGGGGCUGGGCACCCUGCUCGGGUGGCGAGGGACCUGAGGGAUCUGAGGUCCCUGCCCACAUCAGCCAGGCUGCGGUUCUGUGAUUCCCAGCCAGACGAUGAGAAACAUGUCAAAUAUGUAUGUAUGUAUUUACAUAGGCAUGUAAAAUUAUAUGGGCAUGAGGGAUGGAUAUAUUUGGGCAGUUAGAUUAAGAUGGUUAGAUUAAGACCCAUUUCUCUAGUUUCUUGGCAUUCUACAAGAAAAAUGUUGCAUUUCCUUGUAAAAUACUCUUUCAUUCCCAACCAGGAAGGCUCCUGGUCUUCUGCUCUGCCAGAGAAGAACUAGGAGAAGUUUCAGGGCUCUCCUCUCCUGUUGGUAUAGGAUGUCAGUCCUACACCAGAGAAAAUCCCUGACCCAGGCUGCUUUUCUUCUCAUUCAGAGGAUAGGGACCAAAGACCUAACAUCUUGUCUCCAUACCAAAGUGCCUCGCUGUGGCUCUAGGGAAGGACUACAAGUGAGUUUAAGUAGAUACAGUAAAACAGGCUUAAAUGUACAUAAUAUUCCCCUAUGGAUGUGUGUGAGAAGCAAUGCUCCUGAUUCAUCAAACCCAAUAAAUCAAAGCUGCAUUCCUCCAAAGUGCAAGAAACUAGAGGUUAAGGAACCAAGGGGGGAAAUUUUAGGUUCCUACUGAACUCAAAGGGGAUUUGGCACUGACUUCUAUAGGAAAUGUCUUCAGUUCUUGUAGUGAGCUCUAACUGAAACUAAGCUUGAAAGAUAAUCCUUCAGAUCCAGUCUAGGAGACCAUGUGUGUGGGUGUGCUUACUGCUAACAUUUAUCACUGUGUGGUGGAGCCCCAGAAGUCUGCUGAAGAGAAAGGCCCUCCUGUUCGAGGCAGGCCACAUGUUUUUCCUGGAGAGCAGCAGAGGGAUCAAUGAAGCCACAGGAGAGCAGACCUACCAUGCAGCUGAGCCAGUGAAGCUUGGAGGAUGUCCCUUCUCGCAGUCCCUUUCACAAGUUCCCCUGUUUGGAGCCAUGUGUGGUCCAGCCCUGACCUCAGUCCCCAGUACAGCAUUACUUGAUUGGUUAAAAAGACUUGUUUUGGGCAAGAGCCCUGGCAGUUCCUUUCUCACAACAAGCAGUUUCCUUACCUUCUUCUCUCAAAAUGUAUCGAACCAAUUGUCGAGUACUUAAAAAUAUCUACCUGGAAUGCAGUGUAUUUGUUCAAUAAAUCUCUACCUUUUCUGUGAGCAAAAAUUAACAUCAUUAAUCCCACUUUACAAGCUAGGAAGCUGAAACACAAAGAGGAAAAAUAAUGUAACAGAGAGAGAGCAUGAGAUACAACCAGGCUCCUGGUGUUCAGCACAAGUCACGCAGCUGGAGGCUAUCUAAGUGGCCAGAGCUCUGCUCACCAACAUCACUCUUCCAAAACAGUUGACCUUACAUCUCGGGAUGGAUUAGAAAAAUAAAGCAUAGAUAUCAAAGGCUAAACUCCAGCCUCAUUCAAACACAUUCAAUUGAGUGUUCAUGCAACAGAGGUUAACACUUGCAAUGAUUUUUAUGGGCAAUAUUUUUUACCAUAGGAUUUGUGGCAGACAAAGGCAUGACUUCUCAAGCAGUUUCAAUAAUUGUGUUAUAUUUAACAGUACCAAAUAAAAACACAGCAGUUGG